CAUUGUUUUUUAAUAAAAACUAGAAUGAAAGAUUUAACAUUUUAAUUUCUUUAUUAAAUAUUUUAUAUAAAUUUAUAUUAAAUAUAAAAAUAUAUUUAUAAAAUAAAAAGACGACAAGACCCUAUUAAAUUUUACUUAUUGUUUAGCUGGGGCAGCUUUUUAAAUAAAAUUUUAAUUUUAUAUAAAUAAUUUAAUUUAAAUAUCUAACAUAAUUAAAUUAAUCCAAUUACUAUAGGGAUAACAGCGUUAUAUUUUUUUCAAGUUCAUAUUUAAAAAAAUCAUUGCGACCUCGAUGUUGAAUUAUAUUUCUUUAUUAAUGCAACAAUUAUAAAAGUAGGUCUGUUCGACCUUUAAAAUAUUACAUGAUUUGAGUUCAAACCGGUGUAAACCAGGUUGGUUUCUAUCUUUUUUAUAAUUUUUCUAGUACGAAAGGACAAAUAAAUUUUUAAUAUAAAAUUAAUUAGCAGAUAUAUGCAUUAGAUUUAGAAUCUAAAUAUUUCAUUU
rnacentral:rRNA from 1 species